UAGCACCUGUUAAAAAUUGGUACAUAUGG
rnacentral:piRNA from 1 species